UGUUUCCUGGUAAUGUUAAGUGAUAUGUUUCCAGGUAAUGCUGUGUGAUAUGUUUCCAGGUAAUGUAGUGUGUUUCCAAGUAAUGCUGUGAUAUGUUUCCAGGUAAUGUUGUGUGAUAUGUUUCCAGGUAAUGUCGUGUGAUAUGUUUCCAGGUAAUGUCGUGUGAUAUGUUUCCAGGUAAUGUUGUGUGAUAUGUUUCCAGGUAAUGUCGUGUGAUAUGUUUCCAGGUAAUGUUGUGUGAUAUGUUUCCAGGUAAUGUCGUGUGAUAUGUUUCCAGGUAAUGUUGUGUGAUAUGUUUCCAGGUAAUGUCGUGUGAUGUGUUUCCAGGUAAUGUUGUGUGAUAUAUUUCCAGGUAAUGUCGUGUGAUGUGUUUCCAGGUAAUGUUGUGUGAUAUGUUUCCAGGUAAUGUUGUGUGAUGUGUUUCCAGGUAAUGUCGUGUGAUGUGUUUCCAGGUAAUGUUGUGUGAUUUGUUUCCAGGUAAUGUCGUGUGAUAUGUUUCCAGGUAAUGUCGUGUGAUGUGUUUCCAGGUAAUGUCGUGUGAUGUGUUUCCAGGUAAUGUCGUGUGAUAUGUUUCCAGGUAAUGUUGUGUGAUUUGUUUCCAGGUAAUGUCGUGUG